rnacentral:rRNA from 1 species
CCUACGGGAGGCUGCAGUGGGAAUAUUGGACAAUGGGCGAAAGCCUGAUCCAGCCAUGCCGCGUGUGUGAAGAAGGCCUUCGGGUUGUAAAGCACUUUCAGUGGGGAAGAAAGCCUUGGGGCUAAUACCCUCGAGGAAGGACAUCACCCACAGAAGAAGCACCGGCUAACUCCGUGCCAGCAGCCGCGGUAAUACGGAGGGUGCGAGCGUUAAUCGGAAUUACUGGGCGUAAAGCGCGCGUAGGCGGUCUGAUAAGCCGGUUGUGAAAGCCCCGGGCUCAACCUGGGAACGGCAUCCGGAACUGUCAGGCUAGAGUGCAGGAGAGGAAGGUAGAAUUCCCGGUGUAGCAGUGAAAUGCGUAGAGAUCGGGAGGAAUACCAGUGGCGAAGGCGGCCUUCUGGACUGACACUGACGCUGAGGUGCGAAAGCGUGGGUAGCAAACAGGAUUAGAUACCCCAGUAGUC